rnacentral:rRNA from 1 species
UACGGAGGGGGCCAGCGUUGCUCGGAAUCACUGGGCGUAAAGGGCUCGUAGGCGGUUUGAUAAGUCCUGUGUGAAAUCCCUUGGCUCAACCAAGGAAUGGCGCAGGAUACUGUCAUACUUGAGGCCGGGAGAGGGAAGCGGAAUUCCCAGUGUAGCGGUGAAAUGCGUAGAUAUUGGGAGGAACACCGGUGGCGAAGGCGGCUCUCUGGGACGGUACUGACGCUGAGACGCGAAAGCGUGGGGAGCGAACAGG